GAUGUACAUUCCAAAUAGCGAGUGCACAGGCUAGACCUUCAGUGUUCAGUAACGAGACCGACCUGAUCCUGAUCAGUAGUCAGGGGUUGCCGGCAGUGGAAGAACAAAGAGAUGCUCUGUACCCACUGAAGACGAAGGCUAUGGGCUGACAAGCCUAGCAUCGGUGGUCAGCCAUUUUGCCAUUAGUGCUAUGAAGAGAAGGCCUUUUCCUCAGGUAAGAACAGGAUGUUAUGGCUGUCAGUGUUCUUCACACCCAUGCUCCUAACAGUUUCCAAUUAGGGCAAAACCAAACCAGUUUGAGUUUGUUUUAAUGGACCAGAAGUGCUCUGCGCUCUGCUAUUAACCCCAUGAAAAGAGUUCUUUCCAGAUAAGCGGAUACUUGCGGCUGCGUGGAGUGGAUCCCAGUCCCAGUUUGCUACCAGCAAUCCCAACCCAAGACACAGGAUGAGCAUUGUCUGGGAAAGCACACUGUCGUCACCUGCCUCCCCCAUCCCGGUCCCCACCACUCUCUGACUGAUGCCAUCGCCUAGAUGAUAAAGCGCCCGUCACUCAAGCACAGAAGUCGAAAUUCAUAGUUCAUUUCUUUACUUAUGUAAGAUCAUUCACUGACAAAAGAACUCAAAUGGAAAGGCUUUGGGCAUAUGCAGAAACGGGGAGAAAAAAAUAAUCUCUCCGAGUCAGAAGCCUCGGGGGAGCAUAGCAAGACUUAUCAAAGUUACAGUGCUCCAUUUGGAAAGCGCCAACC
rnacentral:lncRNA from 1 species